UCGAGAAUCUUUGGCAAUGGGCGAAAGCCUGACCAAGCGAUGCCGCGUGCGGGAUGACGGCCCUCGGGUUGUAAACCGCUGUCAGAGGGGAUGAAACUUCGGUUGACAGAGCCUCAGAGGAAGCACGGGCUAAGUACGUGCCAGCAGCCGCGGUAACACGUACUGUGCGAACGUUAUUCGGAAUCACUGGGCUUAAAGGGUGCGUAGGCGGCCUAUCAAGUCAGGUGUGAAAUCCCACGGCUCAACCGUGGAACUGCGCUUGAAACUGAUAGGCUUGAGCGAGACAGGGGUGAACGGAACUUCUGGUGGAGCGGUGAAAUGUGUUGAUAUCAGAAGGAACACCAUUGGCGAAAGCGGUUCACUGGGUCUUGUCUGACGCUGAGGCACGAAAGCUAGGGGAGCGAACAGGAUUAGAUACCCCCGUAGUCC
rnacentral:rRNA from 1 species